rnacentral:rRNA from 1 species
GUGGGGAAUCUUCCGCAAUGGACGAAAGUCUGACGGAGCAACGCCGCGUGAGUGAUGAAGGUCUUCGGAUUGUAAAGCUCUGUUAAUCGGGACGAAAGAGCCUAGUGUGAAUAAUGCUAGGAAGUGACGGUACCGGAAUAGAAAGCCACGGCUAACUACGUGCCAGCAGCCGCGGUAAUACGUAGGUGGCAAGCGUUGUCCGGAAUUAUUGGGCGUAACGCGCGCGCAGGCGGAUCUGCCAGUCUGUCUUAAAAGUUCGGGGCUUAACCCCGUGAUGGGAUGGAAACUACAGAUCUAGAGUAUCGGAGAGGAAAGUGGAAUUCCUAGUGUAGCGGUGAAAUGCGUAGAUAUUAGGAAGAACACCAGUGGCGAAGGCGACUUUCUGGACGAAAACUGACGCUGAGGCGCGAAAGCCAGGGGAGCGAACGGGAUUAGAUACCCGUGUAGUCC